GACGAACGCUGGCGGCGUGCUUAACACAUGCAAGUCGAACGGAAAGGCCCUGCUUGCAGGGUACUCGCGUGGCGAACGGGUGAGUAACACGUGGGUGAUCUGCCCUGCACUUCGGGGGAUGCCUGGGAAACAGGGUCUAAUACAGGAUAGAAGACAUUCUUAUUGUGGUGGGUGGAAAGUUUUUUCGGUGUGGGAUGAGCUCGCGGCCUAUCAGCUUGUUGGUGGGGUAAUGGGCUACCAAGGCGGCGACGGGUAGGCGGCCUGCGAGGGUGGACGGCCAAAUUGGGGCUGAGAUACGGCCCAGGCUUCUACGGGGGGGAAGCGGUGGGAAUAUUGCACCAUUGGCGCGAGCCUGGUGCAGCGACGCCGCGGGGCGGAUUACCGCCUUCGGGUUGGAAACCCCUUUCGCCAGGGACCAAGCCUUGUGUGACGGUACCUGGUAAAGAAGCACCGGCUAACUACGUG
rnacentral:rRNA from 1 species